CUAAUAGCUAAAACUUUCAACAACGGAUCUCUUGGUUCUGGCAUCGAUGAAGAACGCAGCGAAAUGCGAUAAGUAAUGUGAAUUGCAGAAUUCAGNGAAUCAUCGAAUCUUUGAACGCACAUUGCGCCCUCUGGUAUUCCGGNGGGUAUGCCUGUUCGAGCGUCAUUGCAAUCCUCAAGCACCGCUUGGUAGUGGGCCUCGCCCCCGUGGNGUGCCCGAAAUCCCGUGGCGGUCCGGCGAGACUUCGAGCGUAGUAAGAUUUCANUAUCCCGCCUCGGAAGCUUCUCGGUGGACCUGGCCAACAACAAUGCAAGUGAACAACUUCCACGAUUGACCUCGGAUCAGGUAGGGAUACCCGCUGAACUUAAGCAUAUCAAUAAGCGGAGGAAAAGAAACCAACAGGGAUUGCCUCAGUAACGGCGAGUGAAGCGGCAACAGCUCAAAUUUGAAAUCUGGCCCUUUUCCGGGUCCGAGUUGUAAUUUGGAGAGGGUGUUUCGGGCGAGGCGCCGACCUAAGUCCUUUGGAACAGGGNGUCAUAGAGGGUGAGAAUCCCGUAUGCGGUCGGUGACCG
rnacentral:rRNA from 1 species